GUGCCAGCCGCCGCGGUAAUACCGGCAGCUCGAGUGAUGACCGCUGUUAUUGGGCCUAAAGCGUCCGUAGCUGGCCACGCAAGUUCGUCGGGAAAUCCAUCGGCUCAACCGAUGGGCGUCCGGCGAAAACUGCCUGGCUUGGGACCGGAAGGCUCGAGGGGUACGUUCGGGGUAGGAGUGAAAUCCCGUAAUCCUGAACGGACCACCGAUGGCGAAAGCACUUCGAGAGAACGGAUCCGACAGUGAGGGACGAAAGCUGGGGUCUCGAACCGGAUUAGAAACCCCUGUAGUCC
rnacentral:rRNA from 1 species